GCAAGUCGGACGGUAACAUGAGGUGCUUGCACUUUGAUGACGAGUGGCGCACGGGUGCGUAACGCGUAUAGAACCUACCCUGUACAGGGGGAUAGCCCAGAGAAAUUUGGAUUAAUACCCCGUGGUAACUAUAAAUGGCAUCAUUUAUAGUUUAAAGUUUUCGGACGGUACAGGAUGGCUAUGCGUCCUAUUAGUUAGAUGGUGAGGUAACGGCUCACCAUGGCAUCGAUAGGUAGGGGCCCUGAGAGGGGGAUCCCCCACACUGGUACUGAGACACGGACCAGACUCCUACGGGAGGCAGCAGUGAGGAAUAUUGGACAAUGGGCGUAAGCCUGAUCCAGCCAUGCCGCGUGCAGGAAGACGGCCCUAUGGGUUGUAAACUGCUUUUAUACGGGAAGAAUAAGGGACACGAGUGUCCUGGUGACGGUACCGUAAGAAUAAGGACCGGCUAACUCCGUGCCAGCAGCCGCGGUAAUACGGAGGGUCCGAGCGUUAUCCGGAAUUAUUGGGUUUAAAGGGUCCGCAGGCGGGCAAUUAAGUCAGGGGUGAAAUGGUACGGCUCAACCGUAGCACUGCCCUUGAUACUGGUUGUCUUGAGUCAUAGUGAAGUGGCCGGAAUAUGUAGUGUAGCGGUGAAAUGCAUAGAUAUUACAUAGAACACCGAUUGCGAAGGCAGGUCACUAACUAUCGACUGACGCUGAUGGACGAAAGCGUGGGGAGCGAACGGGAUUAGAUACCCCGGUAGUCCACGCCGUAAACGAUGGAUACUAGCUGUCCGCUGCCUUGAGCAGUGGGCGGCCCAGCGAAAGUGAUAAGUAUCCCACCUGGGGAGUACGUUCGCAAGAAUGAAACUCAAAGGAAUUGACGGGGGCCCGCACAAGCGGUGGGAGCAUGUGGUUUAAUUCGAUGAUACGCGAGGAACCUUACCAGGGCUUAAAUGCAUAAUGACAGUUCUAGAGAUAGACUUUUCUUCGGACAUUUUGCAAGGUGCUGCAUGGGUUGUCGUCAGCUCGUGCCGUGAGGUGUCAGGUUAAGUCCUAUAACGAGCGCAACCCUGCCGUCAGUUGCCAGCA
rnacentral:rRNA from 1 species